rnacentral:rRNA from 1 species
UAGGGAAUCUUCGGCAAUGGGGGCAACCCUGACCGAGCAACGCCGCGUGAGUGAAGAAGGUUUUCGGAUCGUAAAGCUCUGUUGUAAGAGAAGAACGUGUGUGAGAGUGGAAAGUUCACACAGUGACGGUAACUUACCAGAAAGGGACGGCUAACUACGUGCCAGCAGCCGCGGUAAUACGUAGGUCCCGAGCGUUGUCCGGAUUUAUUGGGCGUAAAGCGAGCGCAGGCGGUUUAAUAAGUCUGAAGUUAAAGGCAGUGGCUUAACCAUUGUUCGCUUUGGAAACUGUUAAACUCGAGUGCAGAAGGGAAGAGUGGAAUUCCAUGUGUAGCGGUGAAAGGCGUAGAUAUAUGGAGGAUCACCGGUGGCGAAAGCGGCUCUCUGGUCUGUAACUGACGCUGAGGCUCGAAAGCGUGGGGAGCAAACAGG